GCGAACGCGGACCAGUCUAAAAAGAACCCAAAAACGAAGCCGCCUUCGGUUUGUUUUUGAAGGCGGCAAAUAACCGCAAUUUCGUGGAGUUACAGUGCCCACUCAGCUAGUUUUUACCGAGCCACGACAUGCAAUAAGCACCGAAAUGGUAAGUUAAUCGUGAUAUUUUACUGUAGUUGCGCUCGUGGAAUGAAAGAGACAAGAAUUUACACAAACAAAAUGCAUUUUUUUUCCUCGUUUGCUUUAUGCGUUGAUUUUGUUCACUUCUGUACAACAUCUAAUCGCUGGAAGAGUCUUUUGUGUAAACAUUUAUUAAAAAAGUGGAAAAGAAUUAAUAAAUAAAUCAAAUUAAUAUAAACAGGUACGUGCAAAUAUAUAUUAUAUAUUUCAAAUAAAAUGAUGAGCAAAAGGCAUUUGCGUAGACUCCGUAAGAGUGAAAGGGAAGCUAACAUUGCAAAGUUAGCGUUGUGCAGGAAAGAUAACAGAUAACAGCAAUGAAAUCGAUUCUCCAGCCAGCUGGCGUUUUGAGCGGCUUAAACUUUAUUUUGAGUGAGGAAAUUGUUCUAGCCUAUAACGUCGAUGGGGUCUAAUGGAAGAAGGCCCUUAGGACCCACAAAGAAUUUUUUGCAGCUUUGCUAGAAUGUAUUCCGCCUGGCGAUGAGCCCCCUGAAAACACUGUGCGGAAGGCAAUGCAAAGGAUGAAGAAAAGGGUGUUUAAGAAGAAGUGUCUUGCCAAAAACCAGGAGUAGGCUAAGCAUCAUAUAAUUAAAAAUUAUUCGUUAUAAUGAAA